GUUAACUGAUGUUAAUUGAUUAAAGAACAAUGCCCAAAGCCUGCAGAACAGAGGAGUGAUGCUGGAGAGAAGCCGGCACAGAGGCUAGGACUGAAGCCGGAGCUAUGGGGGAGCCAAAAGGUUGGAAAUGUAAGAGUACAGGGCAUGGAUUCUCUUUUCAGGGGUUUAGAGGGUCUUAAAUUGCACUGAAAGACAAGCCAAGGAUAAAACAAAUGCAAGAGUGAUUCUCCUCCUCGCUUCCUCAGAAAGCAAAUCUCAAACUUAAUGUCUGUGCAUAUAUGCGCCAAUUCAUAGAUGUCAUAGACAUUAGGGCUGGAAGGGACCUUGGAAGAUUAUCGA